AGUACAAGUCGUAACAAGGUAUCCGUAGGUGAACCUGCGGAUGGAUCAUUACAGAAGAGAUUAUAUUCUCUACGUUUUGUGAAUGGUUUGGGGGUGUUUGGGUGUGUGGUUUUAGGGGGUGACCUCUGGGCCCACACGCUCUCUUGAUUACACGUAUUUUCCCUACUGAAGUCGUCUAUACAUUGCAGUGAGAAACUGAAACAACUUUUAGCAACGGAUCUCUUGGCUCUC
rnacentral:misc_RNA from 1 species